rfam:Providencia rettgeri Dmel1 chromosome, whole genome shotgun sequence.
CUUCCUACUACAGCCUCGCGACUAAUGAGAAUACUGAUAUUCCAGUGAUCAGCUCUCUCAUUAGCCGCGCGAAUCGGAUGCAGCGAAGAGGCAUUAAUAAAACAGCUUACUACGACUUAUAGCUUAGCAUUUAAGUUAAGUAUAAUUCGAGUAUUACUUCAACUUUCAAAAUAACUUUUAGAAGAAAAGGGGCCUCUGGCCCCUUUUC